ensembl:piRNA 21ur-1756 ncRNA
UGUUACACCGGAGCACUAAGG